rnacentral:rRNA from 1 species
AACAUACCUCAUAGUACGGAAUAACUGCGGGAAACUGUAGCUAAUACCGUAUAUUCCAGAAAUGGGAAAGAUUUAUCGCUAUGAGAUUGGCCCGCGCAAGAUUAGCUUGUUGGUAAGGUAACGGCUUACCAAGGCUCCGAUCUUUAGCUGGUUUGAGAGGAUGAUCAGCCACACUGGGACUGAGACACGGCCCAGACUCCUACGGGAGGCAGCAGUAGGGAAUAUUGGACAAUGGGGGAAACCCUGAUCCAGCAAUGCAGCGUGAGUGACGAAGGCCUUAGGGUUGUAAAACUCUUUCAUCGGUGAGGAUAAUGACAGUAGCCGAAGAAGAAGGACCGGCUAAUUCCGUGCCAGCAGCCGCGGUAAUACGGAAGGUCCUAGCGU